CGGAGUUUCUAUGUCUCAAAGAUAACAUCUUGGUUGGUUUCAACCUAUCACAAACAACAAUUUGCAUAGUUAUACAAAGCAUACCCAACGGAACAUGAAGCUGACGUCCAGACAUCACAUUUACAUUUACUAACCAUUCAAUUUUGAGUGCAGAAAAAAGUAGGGAAUCAAAUACCAAGGCUGAAAAUAACAUGAAUAAAAACAAGGUUAACUGGUUAAAAAUACCGGUAAGAAGAAACACAUAUGAAUUGCCUAAGUGGCCAUAUAAAAGUCCAGGUUGGAAAAUUCCUGGCUUAGUAUACCAAGGCAUAUAUGAGCCAAAAAAGAGCCUAUGGAGGGGGGGUAUAGGUAACAUGUGGAGUAGCGCAAAGCUAGUCAGCACCCCACCAUUUGACCUGUAGCAGCUGACCGAAUCAGAGGUUAAAGGGGAACUAUCGCGAAAUUAAAAAUUUGUAAAAAGAAUCAUUGCAUGAAGUUAUUAAAUUGUCUAAAUAUAAUGUAUUAAAAAAAAUGUACAGUUUUUAAAAUAUUGAAGUCAUUAUAAUGAACACAUGCCUAGCUCCUUCUCUCCUACCUGCCUCUGGCUAGCUCUGGCGUCGGAGUCGAGUUUCUUUGCAUAACAACGCUGUCCUCACUCUCAUUGGCUAUCAGUGCUGUCAAUCUUGAACUGUGUAGAGGCAGCAUAAUUAAUGGCUCCGUUAUUUGUGCCCUGCUGGAUUGAUCCUUUUCCUCUUUAGAGCCAGCCCCCCAUCCCCUGCAGCCAGCCCCAGUACUUAUAGUGCUUUUAAAACUCUUUUUUUUUACACUCAGCUGCUUUCCUUCGGCAGCUCCCCCUCCCUUCCAGAAAGUUAUGUGAAAAGAAAGCCUCCGUAACAAGCUCCUGCUCAGCCCCUCCCCCUGCAGUCAGUCAGUCAGUCAGCAUCGUAGUUUUACAAGUCCGGUUACAUGAAGACUUGCUCUCCUGAAACUCCCCCUCCCUCCCAGAAACGAGGCAAAAGGAACUAAAGGUGGACUGAUUAACACUGGCUGAAUCUGUGCAGGUCAUUAGUCUGUAUGUGACACUGAGACACGUUUCUAACUCUGAACAGUGAUUCAAAGCUCCAAAACCAUACUGAGAUACCUGAUUGAAGUGAAGCUCCCCAGUGGCUAUGCAGAUGUUGUUGAAAUGCCUACACACUGAGCGUCACAGUAAUAACUUACUGAAAUGGCCUUUUGGGAUUCCUUUCUUAACAUUUGGAUGAUGGAAACUGUCUGCUCUCAACAGGUUAUUGCUAUCCAGGGGUUUACGAUAUAGACUAGUUGUCAAUUUCCCAUCUGUAAUAGUUAAAGAAACAUCCAAAAAAUGGAAUUGUCAGAGUACUCAUACGUAAAUGUAAUACUUUUAUGACUCUUUUUCGCUUGCUCCAUCAUUUUUUCGGAGGUUUCCUUUGUACCUGACCAUAAGAUUAAAAUAUCGUCCACAUACCUGAAGCUUUUAUAUUUUGACAGUAUGUAGUAUUAUUUAGAAAAUAUUCUAUUAUAUAUAUUUCAAGUUUGUGUACCACUAUAUUGGCAAAAGAGGGUGCCAGGGUAUUUAUGGUGUAUUCAAAUGGCUUUUUUGUAUCACUUGAAAAAGGGAUAUAUUUACAAUUUAACACCAAUAAAGGGUGA